rnacentral:rRNA from 1 species
CUACGGGGCGGCACCAGUGGGGAAUAUUGCACAAUGGACGAAAGUCUGAUGCAGCAACGCCGCGUGGAGGAUGACACAUUUCGGUGCGUAAACUCCUUUUAUAUAGGAAGAUAAUGACGGUACUAUAUGAAUAAGCGCCGGCUAACUCCGUGCCAGCAGCCGCGGUAAUACGGAGGGCGCAAGCGUUACUCGGAAUCACUGGGCGUAAAGAGCGUGUAGGCGGAUAGAUAAGUCAGGAGUGAAAUCCUAUGGCUCAACCAUAGAACUGCUCUUGAAACUGUCUAUCUAGAAUAUGGGAGAGGUAGAUGGAAUUUCUGGUGUAGGGGUAAAAUCCGUAGAGAUCAGAAGGAAUACCGAUUGCGAAGGCGAUCUACUGGAACAUUAUUGACGCUGAGACGCGAAAGCGUGGGGAGCAAACAGGAUUAGAUACCCCAGUAGUC